rfam:Bacillus galactosidilyticus strain PL133 scaffold000081, whole genome shotgun sequence.
UAGUUAUCAAGAGUGGCUGAGAGAUCUGGCUCUACGACGUCACAGCAACCUGCAUAGGUAAGGUGCUAAAACCAGCAAAGCUUAGUUUUUUGCUUUGGAUGAUAAGAU